CCUACGGGUGGCUGCAGUCGAGAAUCUUCCGCAAUGGGCGAAAGCCUGACGGAGCGACGCCGCGUGGAGGACGAAGGCCUUAGGGUUGUAAACUCCUGUCACGGGUUUUGAAUGGUGCAAUGCGAACAGUGUUGCAUUUGACGUAAGCCCGAGAGGAAGCACUGGCUAACUCUGUGCCAGCAGCCGCGGUAAUACAGAGAGUGCGAACGUUGUUCGGAAUUACUGGGCUUAAAGCGCACGUAGGCGGCGCCGCAAGUGCGGGGUGAAAUCCCACGGCUUACCCGUGGAACUGCCUUGCAGACUGCGGUGCUCGAGGAUGGUAGGGGAGAGCGGAACUCCUGGUGGAGCGGUGAAAUGCGUAGAUAUCAGGAGGAACACCGGUGGCGAAGGCGGCUCUCUGGUCCAUUUCUGACGCUGAGGUGCGAAAGCUAGGGGAGCAA
rnacentral:rRNA from 1 species